UUCAGGGAAUGCUUGCAAUCGCUCGGUGUUUUCCAGCAUGUGUCAGGGUGACUGAUGGGCUCGUCACAGCUCAGACACCCAUCAACCCAGUGCUGGAGCCAGUUUAACCUUCCUUAAACACCAGCCUCAAGGGCAAACCAAGGGCAGGGUUUUGUCGGCUCCUCUCUCCAAGGCUCGGCCUUCCUGCUGCAGUUUUCCCUUCCCUGCAUCCUCUCGCUCCUCUCAAAAUCAUCUACAGGAUGGACCCAAGGUGGUUGUUCAUCGCCACAAGUAAGACUGUUCUUUGGUUACAAGCUGCCAGCAUUUUGAAGCAAGUGCAUGUAAAUAUUUCAUUCCUGACAGCGAGAUUUAUUAAGAGAAACCUUGUGCAUUUUCUGGAAGAAUUUUAAGAGGCUUUUAUUCAUUGGGCAUCCCAGAGCCUACGGAAUUUGGUUCAGGGAGGGAGGGGAGCGUUGAGUAUCAUCUGUGAAUGGGCUCUUUUCUUUUUUACACUCACACUUCAAAAUCUGGGCUGAGUUCUGGCAGCUCAGGACUGGAAUAAAGUCCUGAGCUAGAAUAGA
rnacentral:lncRNA from 1 species